rnacentral:rRNA from 1 species
UACAGAGACCUCAAGCGUUAUCCGGAUUUAUUGGGCGUAAAGCGUCCGCAGGUUUCUUUCUAAGUCUCUUGUUAAAGCCCAGAGCUUAACUCUGGAUCAGCAGGAGAUACUGGAAAGAUAGAGGACGGAAGGGGCACACGGAAUUGCAGGUGUAGUCGUAAUAAGCGUUGAUAUCUGCAAGAACACCAAAAGCGAAGGCAGUGUGCUGGUACGUUCCUGACACUCAUGGACGAAAGCGUGGGGAGCAAACAGG